rnacentral:misc_RNA from 1 species
AAGUCGUAACAAGGUUUCCGUAGGUGAACCUGCGGAAGGAUCAUUAACGAAUUUCUCAAAGUUGCUUACAGUGCUGUGCGGUCUUUCGCAUGCGUUGACAAGUGACUCUUGAGCAUUUCACACAUCCCUUGUGCACCUUAAGAGGGUAGCUAUUCUGUCUUGAGCACUUCGGUGCUCGAUAGAACAUGUUGCCUUCUCUUACACAACAAAUCUUAUGUCUUGAAUGUACGUUUAUAUUAAACAAAAUAACUUUCAACAACGGAUCUCUUGGCUCUC